GUCUGUAACUCUGUGGAUCUGGUGACAGCUGUGAAUCUACUAGAACACUACACAUAGCCACAAAAUCGUGCAUCUAACACGAGGGAGUCUGGACCCCUCUGAAGCCCAAUCACGAACUCUAAAUUAAGAUCCACCUCCACUUUUUAAUCUGAGCCCUGUCUCCCAUAACCCCUCUGCCGGCAGGGCACUAGCGCUGCGAGGCUUCCUCUCAGGUCAGCCGCUUGCCUCUUCCUGUGUACCCGCUUCCCUAUCUGAGCAGGACUACAAGGCCCACCUCUGCAGCAUUCUUGCCCAGGCCUGAGUCUCAAGCAAAGUCUUUUCUCCACAAAUAGAGGUAGUGAGGGACAAUCAAUGAGGGAGACAAACAGAUACUUGGGGACAGACAUUGGCAGAGAGCUAGGUGGGGACAAGCUUAUGCACAGUCCUGGAGACUGACUGUCUCUCCCUGCGUAGCCUUGGCAGACCGGUCAGGCUUUACAGGCCUCUCACCCAAUUUAGAAGCUGUACUCCUCCCCCCACCCUACCUUGCCAUACUAUCUACACACUGCAGCCUGAACAGGCAGAGGGAGCAGAUGGAGAGAAGGUUGCAGGCAGCAACAGGGGGAGGAAUAUGUCUUUAGCAGCGUGGUGGAGCCGGGAGUCCCUAGAAAGAAUGGGUGGGGGAGGUGAACACUGGAUGGAGGAGGGAAGGAGAAGCACUCUGGCCCAGGGUUUCAGAAGACGCUCCACACCCAGAGCUUCCCCAUUUACUCACUCAAACAAUGCUCUUUUACAGGCCACUGACUAUAGGCCCAGACCUGCCUCAGGCUUUGGGGGACAGAGAGCCCCCCCAUAAAAUCCUAUCUUCAGCUGCAAGAGGUUUCCAUUCCUGGCAGUAAACCCAACUGGCUUUUAUAAAGAAGGUGGCUGAGGCAGGGAUGCAGGAGGGCUGAUUUCUCCCUUGGAGAAGAUGAAGCACUCCAUGCUUUACUGUAUGAGGCUGCCAGCUCUCUGUGGAAUGACCUUGCCUGUUUGUGGCUAUACGCUCAGGCUCUGUAUAGUAUAAUGCAGGCAUGCAGUGGGUGCUGAGUGAGACUUGUUCAAUGGAAACCUAAAGAAGCAAGAAAGAUGGAGGAGGAGGGGAAAGGGAAGAAAGCGAGCGAGAGAAAAACGAAGAGGCUACUUCCCAGAAAUUUGGUGGCUGCCUCUGUGCUAUGAUUUGAUUGCUACCUGCUGAAGCUUCAACCUCUCAUCACUACCAGAAGGGCCACAUCACUAAAAGUCCAUCAAAGGGGUUACUCACUUUGAUGGGCCUGUGCAGUGUCAUUCAGGAAGCCCGUGGUACUCACAUCACUCUGGCCAGACGCUAACAAGAAAAUGAUCCACUGUGACGCAGCCGACCCCAUCCAGUGCAUCCACAUUACCUGGAAAGAAGCAAUUAUGCCCCUUUGGUUUCCUUGGAAAUGCUUGGUCUGUCUCUACCAUCCGCCCUGGCUCUUGAGAAAUACUCAUGCACGGUAGAGCUUUGACAGGGAGACAAUGUGUUUAUUUUCCAACUGAAAGUUUACAGAAUACAAAGUGAGCCUGUAAGAUGGUGGCCACUCUCCAGAGGCUUGUUGGUCAGACAGGAAAGAAAACCAGUGCACCAUCAGGAACGUGGAGGAGGCUGAAAGAGAGGGACAAACAUAUUGGAUUGGAUCGGGCCCCCACAGUCAAGUUCCUGCAAACCAAGCUGGGAGAUUUUCCUGACUAAGGGUUAUGUUCUUGGGCCUCAAAGGUGAGAAGAAAAAUCAAUUAAAGAUACUGUGUAUAUUUAUACACUCUUUUGGCAUUAUAAACUGUAACACAUACAUUUUUCAGUCCAUAAAGAACAGGCUGCAUCAGCACAGCAGCACACAUCUAUGAGUUAUUCUAAGACUUUUGUGUUUGGGGACCCCAUGAGGUCACGUACCCUCUGGAAUCAGCAGGUUUAUUUGGAAUCAGACAUAUCAGAACUCUGUCCUAUCUCCCCAGCCAACGCCCAGCUUCUGUGCCGGGGAGGAUACAGGAGGACAGACACAGCUUCUGUGUCAGGAGGAGGGAAGAAGGACUAAUGUCUGUGGACACUCUGAGGCUCACAGGGAGAAGCCACACACUCGCAGCACCAGGUAUAUUAUCUCUGUUCUCCCACUAGACUUUAAGCUCAGUGGAUGCCAGGACCCUUAGAACAAAGCACAUAGCAAGUUUUCAGUGAAGUCUUGUUAACUUUCAAAUGAAGGAAUAAACGAAUGACUGUAUUUCCACUUCGCAGAUGAGUAAACAGAGGCUUGGAGGGGUGAUGAAAUUUGCCAACAGUCAUCAAUCAGUAAGUGUGACAGAAGUAGGACUGGAACCCAGGGCUGUCUGACCUCUGGCUUGAGUCUAUAACCGCUUGGCCAUACUGCCUUUCAGUUCCAGGAACAGGUGAUGCUUCCCGGCAGUGAGACUCUAAACCAGCGGGAGUUCCCAGCCAGAGACAUGAUCUAAGUGCCAAUGGCUGAAUGUCUGUGAGCAUUUCAAGUCAUUUUAAGAAUAGGCAACAUUAGCGGCACCAUUAAAGCCUGCUGUUCCUCCAGCCCAUCACUGCCAUCCCCACCUAUUAAAAUAAUGGUAUGAAAAAUAAACAGCCUUUAUG